ensembl:lincRNA
AUGGGGAAAUCACUCAUGACGAGCAGCCUGGCGUUCAUGAUGGUUGGGAAUGAAAGGACAAUGGUAGCCCUGCAUUAAAGUUUCCUUCCUUCCUUCUUUCUUUUCUUUUAUCUUCACUUUCCCUCUUUCCUUUCUUCUUUCUUUCCUCCCUUUCUUUCUUUCUCACUGUGUAGCCUAGGCUAGUUUCAAACAUGCGAUGAUCCUCCUGUGUCAGCCUCCUAAGCACUGUGAUUACAGGCAUGUGCCACCACACCUGACACUAAAGUAUAAUUCUAAUGUGAGGAUUUUGUAUGUUGUCCAUACUGAGAUGCAUGGGCUGGGAUGGUAGGCUGAGAUGUUAUGUAACUUUGAGCUUCCCAAAAAGGCAAAAUGGUGAAGGAAAAGAACCUGUACUGAAACCCUGGCCUUCACUGGGUAAGCAGGCUGGCAAAUCCCUCCCUAACCUUGGAGUAUGCUAACCAUUAUCUCUUACAGGACAUUAAGAGAUUUCAAAGAUGUAUUCAGGAGCCUCUAGCGCAGUCACUGGAACCUUCACAUAGCAAGGUCCAAGGGAUGUGGUUACCAGUUGAACAAUGACUUAAUAGUACUUAGAGGAUUUAAUUAUUAAGGAUCUAAGAGUGAUCCUGUGAGAUGUGUGCACAUAUGUGCAGGAUUGUGAGUAAAUAAUACAAAAUUUCUUUGAACUGAAACACUGUUUUCUUUUGGGACUUUCUUCUAGGAGAUCCUAGAAGAUCAAAUUUAUUUUUUGCUCUAAUUUUUUAAUGUGCAAUUUUGUUGGCAGAACUCAGGAUUAUUGGUAUGAAUUAUUUAUAGAUGGAUCCAGACAUAAGCGAAUCUUCUUUAUGGAGAAGCUUGACGAUACUCAAGAGUCUUACCAGAAGCUCAAAGAAGAACCAGGCAUACUUGAAGACAGUUUCUCUCACCAUCCCGGUGCUGACCACCAUCUGCAGGGCGAGCUCUUCGUGGAAAUACUGAACAACGAGCACAAAACCCAAGUGAUAACAAGGCUAGUAGACACCAACAUUUCUUUUCUUUGCCUCCAAGUUAACGAUUUGUUAGUUUCUGAAGCUUGUGGCCUGGGCCGUAGAAGGGGGACAGCAAAAUCAGUGCUGAAGGAGGGAGGAUGUCUAGGUCAGCAGGGGACAGCUGGUGUCUGUACCGUGAGGGGGAGCUAGACGUGAGGGCAAGAACUCUGCCUGAGAGCCUGUAAAGGGGGAACAUACAGGGCAGCGGUCAGAACAGGCGGAGUCGCUAACGGGAAUGCUGUGCAGGAGUCACAAAGACCACGUGCAGGCUGUUCUCCUCUUUGCCCUCAGUUUUUGCAUUCGUAAAUCUGGUUGUUGGUCACAGUGGUUCUCAAAUUGGAAUGUGUAUCAGAACCCCCAGGAGGGCUGGAUAAAACACACACAGGGCGGCUCUGAGAAUCUGAUUUCUAUCAAGCAUCCAUGGGAUGGUGACACUGCCCAUCCAGAGUCACACAUUGAAGGCCACCGUCUAGAAGGUAUUUAAACCCACUUCCAGAUGGGAUGGUUAUUUGGGUAACCUCACCCUCAUUUUGAAGAGCAGCUAGCAAAGGUAGCGGAUAGUGAAUUUUAUUUUUCCUAUCUUUCCUAUUCUUCAAUUUCUAUGUAUAAUUGUUAAUGCUUUUGACAGUACUUUUGUUUAUUUUUGUACUACUGGGGAUCAAACUAAGGACCUUGCUCUUGUGAGGCAGGCACAGUGCCACUGAGCUAAAUCCUCAGCCCUCUGGACAAUAGUUUUGAUGGAGAAGUUUAGGGCUGAAACUAAGAUGUAUCAACUCAUCUCACUUUGCCUGAUGAGGUCUCAGUCUUUAAAUGAAAAUUCUUACAUCUUGGGGACCUCCCCCCCAGUCCCGGGCAAACCAGGACAGUUGGUCAUGCUAACUAAAGGCAAACAUAACAUCUGGGAAUUUUCUGUGGAUUUCCUUAUCUUACCCUACAAAACCUAGGAUACACACAAACUCCUUUAUUGUUCAGUGUUUAAGAACAUCCCCAUAUGGAAGUUGAGCUUUACAGUGAACCUAAAGCAAAAAUUAAUUAUAGAUUAAAAGAUUGUUCUUAACAAUCCUUUACACUGCCUAUAACUGCAGCAUAUAUGUAGCCAAUUUACUAAUUCUUAGGGAUGUUAAAAUUGGAGAGCUGCUUAUCAGGGAAUGUGGAAAAAUGUAGUGAAUGUUUAAAUUUUUAAAAAUUGUGACAAUAAAAGACAUGUUGUCAUUAUUCUCCCUCAUAAUACUGUCCCCACUUCAGACACAGCUCUCCCAUCAUUCCUGCCACUGUCUGAAGCAGCUCUGGACGUCCUCUCAUGAGGGUCUCUACUUGUGCUGUCGUGGUGGCCUAGGUGUCCUGAAUUGAUUCAAAAUGUUUACUUUUCACAGUGAACUAAACUAAAAGGAGACGAGAGGAACGUUCUGUGUAGACGUCUGGGUGUUCCAACUACUUCCAUCCCAGCCAGUUAGCUCAUCUGCCAGUUUCAGCUCGAUUUGUCAAGUUAGCCAAACUAAUCAUCUCCACACGUCAACAGGUUAGUUUCCCGCUGUGUCUUAUGUGAGUUUCUGCCAUCUGUGACAGGUGUGGGGUUGAAUUUUAACUUAGCUGGAGAUCAACUUGACACAGCUGAGACCCCUGUAAGGACGGAGGGCAAACAAACUCCUGAGCCCUUUAACCUGUUACUUAUUAAGGGAUAAUUUGUGUUUUCUUCUAAGACACGGACUUAAAAGUAGUCUUAAUUUUCUGCUAAGGCCCAAUAGGAAACUAACAGUAGAACAAAGCUUGCCUUUCAUUUUGCAAAACUCUGGGUCAAAUCCUUCUCAGCUCUGCACCUAGGCAAGCUCGUCAUUCAGGGAGUGUCUGUCUAGGAGUCAGCAAAGCAGCUUUAUCAGCCCUAACCUACCAAGCCUGUCUCGCUGCCCUUCAAGACUGAGAACGCCCACAGGCAGAAGUCUCCACUGGCCCAAACCUGCGUCACCUGACAGUGCCCCUUCAAGUCAUGAGGAUUCUACCUGAGCUAUGAAGCCAGGACUGAAAAAUGACUGGGCAGAGGCCAGCCCGCCACAGGCACACGGCUGAGCUUGUGUUUUUGCUUCACUAAUGGGCCAGUCUGAUUCUCUUCAUCAGAAUGUGCCCCUCCAGCCACUUAAGCGGGAGUCCUUAUUUUGAUUUUUCUAAUUAAAGCUUUUGCCCAUUCGUUCAUACCGUUGUUUAGUUUAAAUUUCCACUGUCACUAAAGCAAGGCCCCACCAAGCUGGUGCAUAAUGUAACCCGGCCGCACCUCCACCUUCCCACGGUAGGGAAGGCACACUCUUGUCAGCUUCGGAG